UCAUCCCAUUGCUUUCCGGAUUCUGUUCCUGAUUUAAAAAAACACACACCACCAAAUAUAAAGACUUCACAAGGUGGUUAGCGGCCACAUUUGAACUUCAAAAGGGGAGCGGACUCGUCUAACCAGGCACACACGUGGAAACACCUAAAGAACAGCACUGGAGCAAAAGACAGUCAGGUCUCCGUUCCCAGGGCACUGGACUUGAAAUCGCCAUUCGGAGGAAUCAAAGGUUUCCAGUUUUGCAGUCCAGUGAAGAACGCUUUGAAAGGGGGAAAUCACAAAAGGAUCAGAAGAAGACAACCAAUCCACACACAUUAAUAAAGAGAUCACACCCAAUUUGGGGGCAAAUAUAUAUGACGUGGCUGAAGAAAAUGAAAAAUAUGCAGUACUAUUGAAGAAACUCUAUCCCUGGCUGCCUUUGCCACAAAGUGACUCAAGAGACUGCGUCACGCAGUGGUCAGUGUGGCUGCUGGAUUUGGAGGUGGAGAAUACUUUGCCCUACGGUCCAGCAUCCGGUGUUUUGGCUUCUUGGCACCAGCAAGAAGGACGUCAUCUGAUGUGGAAAGCCAUUGCGAUGAGAGACGCACCGAUCCAGGCAGGAUGAGGAAGGAGAGGCCGGCCAGCCCAGGAGGACCAUAAAGCAGGAAGAGAGGUCAAGGUGCUGGUUGCAGUUGAGAUACAGAUCAAAUGAGGAAAACAAAAGGUCCUGGCCUCAAGGAGAUUACAAGGUGCAUCUACUAGCAAAAUGGCCUUCAAAUGGUGGGGAAAUGACUGCUGCAGCAUGGCCCGGCUUGUUUGCGUGAACCUGGAAAGUUCAAAUAUGCAAAUAGGGUGGAGGGAGAGGAUUGGUCUACUACUGGCUUCAGAUGCCAAAGGGCCCUUAAUUCUGCCCUGAGAGAAUCUUUUCCACACAGCUGUUCUUAGGGGAAUGGAGGAUUUGUGUGACCAUCUUCCCGGUGAAACAUCACAAGUUCUCCAAACACAGUUUCUGUCCCUCCUGGUUUUCUGACAGUAUACCCCUUUCCUACACUGAUGAAGCUGUUCAGGAGAAGGUGAAUGGGACAGAUGUUGCUCACAGACAUAUGAAACAUUGUUUUAGGCAAUGUGGAAGAGGUUGUACCACUGAUACUGCUUUAUAGAUCAAUUUGUCUUCUGUGGAGCUUGGAGGCAUAAUUUCCUCCAAGAAUGUGCUUUUCUUUGGUCACUAUUGGAAGUUUCCCCCCUUCCCACUUCCUUUAAAUCUUACUUUUGGAAUUUUGUAAGGCAAAACCAUCUUCUUUGGAUCCUAAAGUGGUUUUGUAUCAAUUGUGCAUGGAAAAAAUGAAAAAAAGUAACUCUGGGCAGUUUCAUUUAGCAUAAAAUCUUGUGUGCAGAGACUGUUUUCAAACGCACUAACUCAAACCACACGGAUGUGCAACAAAUUCUUAAACUAUGGACAUUGACACAUGGUUUUUAUUAUGACCCACAUAAAGCUGAAGUAUAAUAGAGCAGCCUUUGGUGAUAAAACCAAGUGGUGCAAAGAUUAAAAUGUAUUCUGAGGUCUUGA